rnacentral:rRNA from 1 species
UCGCCUGUUUAUCAAAAACAUAGCCAUUAGAUGAUAUUACAUGGUUUUACCUGCCCAAUGUUAUAUAUGAAUGGCCGCGGUACUCUGACCGUGCUAAGGUAGCGUAAUCAGUUGACCUUUAAAUGAGGUCAGGAAUGAAUGGAAUAACCGGGUUUAGCUGUCUCUGUGUCACUAUAUUGAAUUUACUAUCUAAGUGAAAAAGCUUAGGGUUAAAAAAGGGAGGAGAAGACCCUUAGAAUUUUUUUUAAAAGAAAAUAAAAUUUUCUUACAAUUUUAUUGGGGCGAUAAAGAAAUAAUUAAAACUUUCUUUUAUUACAAGCCGAUUAUAUUAAGUGAGAAUAAAUUACCUGAGGGAUAACAGCAUAAUUCUAUAAAUGAGUUUGUGACCUCGAUGUUGGACUAGGAAACUAGCAGGCUAGCCGUUUGCUGUGUUAGGUUCUGUUCGAACUUUUAUUCCU